AUGGAGCCCGAGUCUGAUACAAUAUUGGUCUGUUAUUGUUUGAUCUAAUUUCCAGUAUUAAAUGCAGCAUGAUGUUUGAUGUAAUUAUGUUAUGGUCUCGUAUGCAUGAAUCAUGGUUUCUUUUAUUAUGGUUUGUAUUAUGGUGAACCCGAUACUGUAUUGUCUUGUUUGGUGUCAAUUACUGGUUUACAUGUUGUAUAUGAUUGGAUGAU
rnacentral:lncRNA from 1 species